UGCAAGGAAACUAGCACUCUAAUGAGAUCAAAAGGCUUCUGAUUAGAUCAGAGUCUUGUGUGGAUACCCAUAGAGGUCGGAUGCUUGUGCGACUACAAGGGACCUUCGAAGGACAUCUAUGAUCAUCUAUUUGCGUUGAAGAUUUAUUCAUAUCUAGGUAUAUUUUUAUUUAUUUAUUUUUAUUUAAUUUUUAUAUCUGAAUCUUAUCUCAUAUAUGAUGAUUCUGAUUAUGGUUUGAAGAUAUGAUCUUAUGCAUGC
rnacentral:lncRNA from 1 species